rnacentral:rRNA from 1 species
GCGCGUAGGCGGCUCCUUAAGUGUGGUGUGAAAUCUCCAGGGCUCCCCCGGAAACUGCGCCGCAUACGGGCGAGCUUGAGGAAUGCAAAGGUAGCUGGAAUUCCGGGUGUACCGGUGAAAUGCGUUAAUAUCAGGAGGAACACCCAUGGCAAAGGCAGGCUACUGGGCAUUAUCUGACGCUGAGGCGCGAAAGCGUGGGUAGCAAACAGGAUUAAAUACCCUGGUAGUCCACGCCCUAAACGAUGGAUACUAGAGGUGAAAGGUAUCGACCCCUCUUGUGUCUCACCUAACGCACUAAUUAUCCCGCCGGGGGAGUACGGCCCCAAGGUUGAAACUCAAAUGAAUUGACGGGGACCCCCACAACCGGUGGAGCAUGUGGAUUAAUUCGAUACUAACCGAAGAACCUUACCCAGGUUUGACAUUGAUGGUAAGCCCGAGAGAUUGGGCCCUCCCCCACAACGGGACCUGAAAACAGAUGUUGCAUGGCUGUCCUCAGCUCGUGCCGUGAGGUGUGCGGUUAAGUCCGUAAACGA